rnacentral:lncRNA from 1 species
CAGAAAAAAAUUAAGAAAAAAAAAAUCUUCCCAGGCAUAGUGCAAAAAAAAAAAUUCCUUGCUUAGAAGAUAGGCCAAGUGGUGUAGUGGAGGGAGGGCUCGAGGGUGCUUAGCACCCCUUGUUAAAAUUUCAUGUUGACUUGGAGGGGCUGAGCCCCCUUAUGUUUUUGGCGCGUUGCAUAAUCUUAACAACGUCAAAAACACACACAAAAAUAUCAGUAAACGAGAAUGUUCUUUAGAAUUGUAUCUCAUUUUCAGUCAUCAUUUAACACAAUAAUGAUUUUUGUAAUCUUUAUACCGCGUUGUUCAUGCGCCGUAGCAAAUUGGCUGUUGAAAUACCGAUCCUGUUUUGUCUGAUUUAAACUCUAUCCAGGGCUGUAUCAACGGGAGGGCUUGGGGCUGCAGCCCCCCCCCCCCAAUAAUUUGCUAAUAAUCAUUCGUUUGACAAAAUCAUGUGUCCUCUAGCGUUCGUCAGCAGGGUGAAGAGACAUUUUGCCUGAGAGAGCAGGCAGCACUCGUUCCUACCGCGGGCAAGGCACAGGUUAGCUCACCGCCCCCCAUUGCAAGUAUAGGCUGCCAAGGUUAGGUCAGUCCCCUCGGCGCAUAGACCUAUAUAAAAUUUACGUCAUCACUGUACGGUCAGAGGCUCAAACAUUGUAGAGUCUUUACCAUAUGUGCCAAGGACAAAUCUGUAGCUACUCGAUACAUUUAAAUAAUAUAUCUUUAAAACACUGACAAUUGAUUAAUUGUAAGCUGUACAUUAUCCAUGACAAAUUGCAAAGAAUGAAGAUAUUACCCAUAAUUUCCUGCAAUUUAUCCAAUAUAUAGUUAACUAAAUACGCCUUCGCCCAUUUAAUACUACUAAAUUGUAAAUUUCGACAUACUAAAACGCUGUUUUCUGACCAUCAGAAUUCUGUCAAAUCUUCCCCAAAGUCCAGGAAAUGGCAUUUCAGAGACUCUAAAUUUAAAAAUUUCCUCGGGCCUUCGGCCCUCGCUUCCAGCCCCUUUGUUUUUAAUAAGAAUAACGUCGAAUGUUUGUCCCACAAUUUCUAGAAUAAACCCCAACAAAAUUUAGAAUUUCCAAAAUAUCUUAUUGUACACCCCUCCCGCCAAUUCAGGACACUUUGGAGAGCCCCCCUUGUUAACAUUCCAGGACUACACCACUGAUAGGCCUAUAAAUUUCACUUAAAAAAAAUAUAUUUCCAACCAUCAAGUGAGAAAAAAAAUAUAUUUCUUCUAUAGGUGUACAAAAAAAAAAAAUAUUGCCUCUUAGAAAAUCCCCUCCCCCCCCCCAUCACUUUUCUAAUGGUCCGUCCCU